rnacentral:tRNA from 1 species
AGUCCUAUAGUAUAAAAAUAAUAUUAAAUUGCAAAUUUAAAGAUGUGAGACUCACUAGGAUUU